GACGAACGCUGGCGGCGUGCUUAACACAUGCAAGUCGAACGGUAAGGCCCUUCGGGGUACACGAGUGGCGAACGGGUGAGUAACACGUGGGUGAUCUGCCCUGCACUUCGGGAUAAGCCUGGGAAACUGGGUCUAAUACCGGAUAGGACUCCGGACUGCAUGGUCUGGGGUGGAAAGCUUUUGCGGUGUGGGAUGGGCCCGCGGCCUAUCAGCUUGUUGGUGGGGUGCUGGGCAACCAAGGCGACGACGGGUAGCCGGCCUGAGAGGGUGACCGGCCACACUGGGACUGAGAUACGGCCCAGACUCCUGCGGGAGGCAGCAGUGGGGAAUAUUGCACAAUGGGCGCAAGCCUGAUGCAGCGACGCCGCGUGAGGGAUGACGGCCUUCGGGUUGUAAACCUCUUUCAGCAUCGACGAAGCGAAAGUGACGGUAGGUGCAGAAGAAGGACCGGCCAACUACGUGCCAGCAGCCGCCGCAG
rnacentral:rRNA from 1 species